UCUAUUGUGUACAAAUUUACAAAUGAACUGCUUGAGUGUUGACUAAUACUGCAGCCUGCAGUCAAGGUAAGAGCCCAUUUAUUUAUAGGCUCUUCAAGGACAAGAAGACGCUGUAUUUGUACAAUCUUCCACAGCACACAGCCUAACAAACAGUUACCUGCCUCAGCCGCCUUUCAGAAGAGGACGAUAUAUGAGACCCUCAAGGAAAAUACACAGGUUAGCCAGCAUCUUCUGGCAGGAAGGUCAUGCUACACCAUCGGCUUUUGACGAUGGCAGAGCUGCGAAUGUAUAAAGAGGGAUCUUUCUUUCUUUCUCUUUUUCUUUUUUCCCCCCACACCAUCAGUUUGAUUGGAAGUGUGUCCAGGAGAUUACUCGGGACAUCUUGCUGAGCCAAGCCAGGAGCAGACGGUCCCAGAUGAUGCGUCUGUGCAGCACCCACUCAUUUAAAUCAGGCUGCGUGUUUGCAAUCGAUGGGACUGUCUGAUCCCUGGAUGCUGGGGAGCUUCUUUUUCUAUUUCCUGCUGAUAUUUACUUCAAAGGUGCGUGGUCAUACAGAUCACUGUAAUAGCAAGAGCCCCAAAAAAAAGGAAUUAAUAAAACUCUGAGUGUGUUUUACCCUGAGAUCUCACGGUGCUCGACAAAGGAAAGGUACCAUCAGUUCUUUUUAUACGGGGGCAGAAAGAGGUGAAAUGAUUUAUUUAUCCAUGCUCGUGCAGUGAAUCAGUGGUAAAGCAGGGAGCUGGACCUUUCCAGCUGUUCUUUGAGGCUUCCUAUAAUGUCCGUUGGAACAGUCCUAAAACAUUUGCCCUUUGAGAGUGCAUUCUGCCCCUGCUGCUCUGUGCAGAAAUUAGCCCUGUGAAGAAAAGUUCAGCUUUGCAGUGGCCAGGGCUGGAGCAAACAAAAAGCAGAGAUCUGGUGUCUUAAAGCACAUCAACUUGAAUUCAUGGUCAAAGCGGUAGAAGGGCACACAGAAAGGGCACACAUGAGAUGACUAUGGGAGAAUAUGAGCUGCCUGGUGGAUCUGGGCUUGAAAAUCAAUUAUUUCAACUCAUGCUCCCUGUGUUUAGAGGAGCUGGCAUUGGUUUGCCCACUGGACAUGCCUUUGGUGAGAGUCGGAGCAGUAGCUGGGUGCUCCCCAGCCCCAAAACCCUUGGAGACGCCAAGCAGAUCUGAGCAAAGAGCCCUUCUGCCUUGUCUAUGGGUUUUUCUGCAUUCACAAUGCAUAGUGUCGCUGUCAUUAAGGCUACAAGAAAACAGCACAUCCAGGGCACACCCAGAGGACAGAGACUGUCGACGGCUUGCGCUGAACAGAGCAAAGGUCUGGAAGGAAGCCUGGUGGGAUGUGGUCCAUCUGACCUGUCGGCGUGUUCAUCUCGCUCUUCAGGGCAGCGCUCAAGGCUGGGUCGGGAGAUGCCCGAGCAUCCAGCCUGUGGGGGAGAGAUUGAUCCUGCGAGAGGUCAGCCCGUGCUGCCCUUUGGCUGCGGUGCAUGCUGCAGGUUUGGAGUGGUGGGAGCUCUGAGAGCUGCAGGGAGAGGAAAAGCCAGAGGUCCCUGGUGCUUUGCAUCAUCUGGUGGGGAUGCACAUGGAGAGGGACAGCAAAAUUGCAGGUGCUUCCUAUAUAAAGUAUUGCUGGGAAGUCAGCUGCACAUCAGACAUCGUGUACCUGGGGUACUUACCCCAAAUAUUUAGGCACUGCCAAAUAUUUAAUUACGCAGGGGAAGGUACCACUUAGGCUGGGAUGUCUUGGCUUCAUUAAAGAGGCUGCAGAAAUCAUUGUGCUCUCCCCUUGGGCUCUGUGAAGGAAAAUCCUGCUGAUGGAGUCAAUUGAAUCUGGAGGGGCCAGAAAGCUAUUGAGCCCCAGGUUAGCAGAGGAUUUUGAGGCAGAAAUGCUCGCAUCUGGGCAUUAGAGCAUCAGUGUAACCAAGCUUCCAGGCAGUUUAAACAGGUGCCGUGAGCUGAUAGCAAAAUACUUUCUGUGCAGCCCAGGGCCCUUGCUCCAUGUCCCCACAAAUUUAAUUCAUGGGGAUGAGACAGCAAUGAAUUUGCCAUUCGUUAACAACAAAUAAUCUCUCAAUCCGUCUUGGGUAAGCGUCGUCGUGGAACUGCUCUUUCAUUUUACAGGGUUCCCUGUGAUAAAUUUAGCUUGUAAAGGGUGAUUAAGAUACUUCAUUGUGUUUUAAUGUGCCUCUAGGCCUAUGUCUAAUAGUAAUGCUCAUUCUAGAUCUCUCUGGAAACAGUCGGCUGCUGCAGCCCAGAAAAGCCUGAGUUACGGGAUGGGACAUCAUGGCACAUCACGGUCCUGGGCAGCACCAGAGGCACCCGCUUCAUGGUGGGAACAUCGAGGAGUCCGAAAUCACAUCUUGGCUGCUGGAGACAGCCCAGGUCAGCACCUCAGCCAGAUGGGAUCUGUGAGGUUACAAGGCACUGACUGAGAACCCCAGGAGCAUCGUUCACGUAGGUGAGUGUUAAACUCAGACAUUAAAGGAUCUCUGCCAAUUACCUGAAGCUCAACAUUUGAUCUGCCUGAAAAUCUCACUGAUCCGUGGGGGAAUGCUCCUCCGUCUGCAUCCCGAGUGCUGCAUCUCCUUGCUCAGUGCGGUGUAAAAGGUGCGGUCGAAGAUGUUUGUGCAUUGGAAGGAGAGAGAAAUCAGCUCUCCCCACGCGUUCUCUGCAGCGGAGCUGGAUCAAAGGGCCACGAUGCCCCAGCCCAGGGCCCUGGUGGCUGCAACAUCCACAGGGGGAAGAGACCACAGAGACCUGUGAAAGACGCUGCCACGUUUGCUGAAGGACGAGGCGAUGUCCAAGAGUGGCUCUCAGGGUCGUUAUUCCAUUAUCAAUCCUCAAUGGCUCCAUCGUCGCCAUGGCGUUUUUCCUGAUUGAUACCUCUUGUCAUUGACAUGAGACUCUGCUCCCUCCACACUUUAUGAGAAGCCAGCCGUUUUUGCAGCAAGAAAACAAGGAGGGAGGUUAUUCCCCAACACAGUCGCACUGAAUGGCCUGCAGGCAUGUUCAUCCCAUUGCUCUGGUGUGCGCGGUGAGCUCGGACCAGCGGGACAUCCCACCUCCUCCUCGCAGCCGGGAGGAGGCACAAGGACCUGGGCUGGAUGCACAAAGCAAAUGGGCUGUUGGCAAUUGCUGGGCGCUGCCUCAUCCCCCUGGCUGACUGGCUGCCUCCAACACACAGCAUCCCUACUGCUCCCAGGCCAGAUGAAUGAAACUUUGUCAGGAGAUCAGUGAAUGAAGAAGAAAGAGCUCGUUUCCCUUCCCAGAUCACUUCUCUGGACCCCUGGCUUACGGGAUUGAUCAAAGGUGAGGAGGGAGAAAUUUGGUUGGGAUCUCCUUGUUAAAACCCUGAAAACAGGCACGUUUGAGCGCUACUGAUAAUCAUUCGGUUUCUUAGCAUAUGAUAACUGCCUCCUAAAAUAUUAAUCAAAUCAUGUCUUGUGAUCCUAAAAAUAGGCUUUCCGAUUCCACUCUGUUCUCUCCUUAAGGUUUCUUGGAUGGUUUAUAGCUGUUGUGGUUUAACCUUUUCUGGCAUUUCACUGAUUGUAGCAACUGCUUUUCCAGAGAAAUGCAAAACCUGAUGGCCUUUCCUGGUGUGUACACACAUAUAGGUAUAUACCUACACACGCCACUCAGCUUUCCCAUCAUUUUGGUACAAGUAUCUCUUCACUGGUAUGCAAAUACAUUAAUCCACCCAAGGACAUCAGAGGAAUUUAUUCUAAAAUACGAUGCUGCGUAAUCCCAAACUCCUUUUAGCUCUUCCACCACCUCAUCUGUCCCAGCCCCCUCCAGGACAAGGUAGAAGAUACACACACGCCAGAAGAUUUUGGGGAAGCCGAUCGAUACGUGUGCCCCUCGCAGGUCCAGGAGCACGUUGAAUUCAUUGCUUCCUUUCUGCUGCUGCAAUGCUAAUGGAUGAGGUUCUAUAAAUAUUUGAUUGACCUGUCACUGCCAUGCUGCUCUCAUUUAUCACUUGCUCAAGUCAGAUCCGAAUUACUUCGGAAUAUUUUGUGCUGUCUUUAAAGAGUGUUCAAUUCUUCCCCCAACUACCUCACCCCUUCUCCACAUUGCCUGCAACACACCAGAGCCCACGAUGGAGCAACUCCUGAAAACGGCCAGGAAAGAAAACAGAGCCAAGUUCUCAGGGCAAUGGGAUAGAGAAGGUGAAUUUAAAGAGAUGCAAAAAUAACCCAGAUGGUGCAGGAUGUAUGAAGGGUGAACCCGCCCAAGCCUCAGGACGAGGGAGUACACGCUGCAGUCUAUGAGAUCAACAGCCCCUUUCUGCGAUUUCCAUAGCGCUGAGUCCCAAAAGAGGAUCACAGAUUUACAAGAAAUUCAGGUAAUUUGCUCGUCAUGUUACCCAUAGGAAGUGAGUAAUUCUCCUGUGCUCACUGCUCUAAUCAGAACCUGGGUAUUUUACUAGCGAGGGCUCUGGAAUAAAUUAGGAGAUAUAGUCCAUACAAUCAAAUUCUAUUCUGUUCAUUUUAACUCCUGUCUUCUCUAGAUUUUUACAUUGGGGAUGAAAUCAGCAAAUUUUAGGGCUUACCCAGACUGUUUAGAGAUGCAGCCCCUGAGCAUGCAGAGACCAGUGCUGCAUCGCUCCCAGUAAUGAGUCCCCCCGGGGUGCUCAUAGCCCCAUUUGCCCCGGGCUGCCACAAAGACCCUUCUCCCCUCGCUGCUAAAUCUGCUUGCCCCCCUUUAGCCCCCCUGCAAACCACCACCACAUCCACUCCAGUCCCAUAGUCUUCCCUGUUGAUGCCACGUAACCAUUUCUAUGGAUAUACCCUGUAAAAUCCUGGGGCUGAACCAGCUCUGGAAGUGAGUGGGAACUUGUGGUAUAACUGGUGUAUAAACCCCACGGGCUGAGUCGCCUCUGCACAAAUAAAUCCUUCUCUCAGCCAACAAAAAAAAACCAAACAAAAGCCCUGCACAUUGAACUGAUCCUAUCAUUAGAACUACCCCUCUCAUUAGCUCUCCCCCUCUGCCUCCUCCCUUCCUCAUGUCAGCAAUACACCGAUCCAUCCUGCUUAUACCAGCUCCUACCUAUACUCCAAUUACUUUUUCAUCUCCCCCACCGGCUGUUUUCAAUACUAUUAUCUGCUGCAUUUGCUGGAUCUGGCUCUCAAGCGUUUGACUGAUGCCUGAUUCCUGUAACCAGAACAUGUCUGUUGAUUGGACUGUCAAUGGAUUUCUUGGCAGAAAGGGCAUUGGGCCUUGCAAAUGUGAAACUGUAUUUCAAUCUCAUUUAGGAGGAGAGAGAGAAAGAAAAAUAUCCUAAAGCUACAUUUUUCCUUGCUCUCUUUGAACAAGUGCUUUUAGUAAACAAGCGUUUUACCUUUUUUUAAUAAGGUCAUUUGUGACAUCACUUUCUUACCAGAAGAAGAAAAAAAAAGGAACAUUUUGUGUUGUGUAUUUUCAGCACUGGAAUGCUCAUCUGUAUUUCGCAGCAAACUGCAUCUUCCCAAUUCUUCUCUGGGGAGGAAAAGAGUGGGGAGGGAGCAGUACAUCCAUCUCUGUCUCGGGGCUGCCUGCUGCAAGACGAGCGGCAAAGCCGUCUCCUGGCCAGCCCUCCGCAUGCCUGCUCGCAGCCAGAGCCUCUCUGCAAGAAUGCACCUUUGACUUUCCUAAAUAACAAUGCAAUUACCUUCAAAAGCUGGCAGCCAAAGUACGUGCUGAGAAAUGGCUACUAUUAAGAAGAAAUUAUCCGCUCUCAGGGAAUGGCCAAUUUGUUAACUGGUGAAGGAGGAGAAAGAUUCCAGCGCCAGACCGUGUGGGUGUAAGGAUGGUGAUGGGAGAACGGCUCCUUCCAGGCAGCCCCGGCCCAAGGCUGGGGAAAUCUCCUGGGCUUUGAAGGAUGAGCCCUGGGUGUGUUGGAUCCAGUGCAGUUUACUCCCAGGUGCAAAUAAGCAGGUAGACACAGUGCAAAUCUCCUCUGUGCAGGCAGCAGAGUCACACCAGACAUGGGAGCUGCUCACGAGGAAUCAGCAAAACGGUCCCACUGCUGGAGAUCUGAGCUCAAACAAGACCUUGUCACCUCCUGGUGGCAAAAGGAGGUGGCCAGAAUUGCUGGUAUCACCUGAUCUUCCAAAAGCCCCUGAGGUCAGGAACCACAUUUGCAAAACAAAGUCAAAAGCAGGAGAGAAGACAAUUUUUGAGACAGGAAAGACUGAGGCAUAAAUAAAUUACUUAAGGUUGACUUCCAUCAGUCUGUACCUUUAGGGCUGGACAGGUGAGUUCUCACACACUAAAUAUAUUUUUCCCACUGGCUUAUCAAGGGCUCUUCAAUACAUACAUUCAAGAUAACCGUGAUCUACACAGGAAGAUCUAUAUUCUGCUUAACAUCAGAGGCAACCUUUGAUAUUGCACCAAGUUACAGAGAGCACCGUGUGACAUUUUCUUAUCUAAAUGCAACCCCAAGAAGCCCACCAGUGAGUUAUCUGGGAACACAGCUGAUAUCACUGGUGCUGACAGGGUUAUGUCUGAAAACAUUAGCGUGUUCAAACUCAGAGGCUUUCUUGAGACCUUUCCUGAAGACAAAAACAACCCUCGAUGACUUGGCAAUGGAUCUGGUGGGCUUACAGUGCUAAAUAAAUAACAGCAGAAUCAGAGGACUUUGAGGAUGACAAGGUUUUCUAGGUCACAUUGUCUUUUUUUUCCCCCUCGGCCAAUACAGAGUGUUUUGUAGAGUGUAGCCUUGAGACUUCUUCCAAACCAGCCCUAAAUGUUACAAGCAAUGCAGUUUGACAACUGCUUAGUAGAUACACAUGGGCAUUGGCUUUGUAGGUGCUGAAGCUGUUUGAGUAUAGCUGUUAAUCUAAGCAAGUAUGUUUUGAAUAUUUAUUACCUCUUUAAAAGGAAUGAGCUUGGGAAAAAUACAGUCUGGCAGAGGUUGUGCAGAAAACUCCUCCCUGAAAAGGGAUGGAUAAUCACUUUCCUCCAUCCUAACAUCCUUAAUCCAUUGCUCCCAUGCUCUCCUGGUUAGGAGGAGACAGCCCAGAUGUGGAAGAGGGGUUGGACAUGGACCUAGUGCCCUUUCAAUGCUUCCAGGUAAAAAAAAUCCUGGAAAAACAGGCAAAACUGGAAUUUGCUGCCUAAAAGACAGAGCAGAAGCAGAGCCAGACCUGCCGUGGGAGAUGGGGUAAGGACAGCGCUGCCAAUGGAGGGCAGAAUGUGCUGCUGGGAUUUUUGGACUCAAGUCCAUUUCUUCUUCUCGUAAAACUUCUUUCUUAUCUAUCUCCUGACUCUUCCAACAAAGACAUUGCACAAUCACAGGCAGCUGCAGUGAUGGCAGUGUAGAUACGUUAGGAAACACAGGCUUAGUGUCUGUAGUCUCCUCUGGGUCAAGCAGUAGUCUCAAAGGACGGGUCAUCAUGGAGGGAGCUCAGAGAGGUGGAGCAAGGACAUCAGCCAGCAGACAGUCAACUCCUACAGAGGUUCACUGGGCAGGAGACUGGGGCUUUCGGUUCAAAAAUCCCACCCUGUGAAGCAAAGUAGGCUGAGGAGAGGCUUCUUGGCUUCCCCAGUAGGACUCGAAGGCAAGGCAUGGCUUCACCAGAAGCAAUUUGCAAAAACACACACUAUGCAGUCCUAGUACUGAACUCGUACAUUUUACAGAUGUCUGUGUCAGAGCCAGAACCUCGUUUCUCACGGCUACAUUCAAAACACUCCAGCUUCAGGCAAAGCCAUUCUUAGGCUUCUUUGCUGAGCCCCAAGGAAAAGGGGAUGCAACAAGAGGCAGUUUUGGGUGCUAUGGACUUGCUGCUAAGGACUAGGAGCCAGGGGAGCAUCAGUGUCUGGUGCAGGGGUGACCACAGGUACCACCUCCCUGUGCCACCAAUGUCCUUCGCCGACCAACGUGCGCACUGCACAGUGCCGGAGUGAAGCACAGUUAGGGGAAGGCAGACAGAAAGAAGGCAGAAUUAAUACCACAGCAGCCUGAAAAGCUGCAGCAGCGGGCCAAGAAGAGGUUAUUCCCCUGAUACAUCUCCUCUUCCCCCUCCCCAUCAUGCCAGCAGCCUCUUUAGCUUCACACGGAGGUUGUGAGGAUUCAUUAGUUAAUGUUUGUGAAGUGCUGUAUAGAUGGAGAGAGAUAUGUAAGUGCUAAGUAUUAUUAUUAUUACAGAGAGUCGCUGUUAAGGCAAUGGAUAUGCUCUUAAGUGUCAUUUCAUAUUUAAUUAACAUACAAUAAUUGUCUUCCUAAACCUGCAGGUAAAUCUUUAUUCCUGACAUUUCCUUUAAAGAGACAUCACAGCAGAGCUGCUGCUAAUGGGCCUCCUCCCUGCUGGCCUUGACUGGGGAGGACUGGGAUUAACUGGGAUGGGGGGAAGCAGUGGGGAAAGGAGGGCAGCAAGGGCUUUUUGUCCCUGGAGGGUGGCGGGUGCUGCCCCUUGGGUGGGGGACAGAGCUCUUGUGGGACCUGGUGAAGGGGACAAGUCCGCAGCCUUUCUCUAAGGUUUCCCUGGGGUCAGGCUGUUGGCAGCAUUGUCCAAGCAUCACACGUGUCUUCUAAGUAAUUAAACACAGCUGCAGCUGUGCACCUUGCCAUUAUGGGUAGAAUUAAAGAAAUUUUUAAAAAAGAGGAUAAAGAAGCAUGAAAGCGUGGUACUGGGAAUUUCCCUGCUAUUUUUCAGGGACGUCUUUGCCAAGAAAUGGUCUUUCUCAGAAAUAGGCUGCAUAUCUUUUACCGACAGAGGGAAACAAGGAGAAAUCAUCUGUGGGACCGUCUGCUCCCCUAGCAAAUGGAAAGGGGAAGCCACCUCUCCCACCUCCCAGUGAUGUCUGCAUUUUCAAGAGAGACAGGAGAAGUAAAAAAAGCAGCAGUCCAUCAUUAUUAACUCAGAAGUAACUUGCCUACAGGAGACAAAGGAGGAUGCCUGGGCCCUUUGUGUGUCUUUCUUUACCCAAACGUCUCUAUUCUCUUGGAUUUGUUGACAAAUCAGUGCCCUCUAUGGGCAUCUCUCUGAAAAGUCCAAAGGACAGGUUUCCUCAGGUUGCUCCCAGGGUGCGCAGGGGGAGCCAUGGAUGCUGCAUCGAGCCUGGUACCCUGCUCUUCAUGACCCCCUUCCCCACGGCAGGCCUGCAGGGACAGCAGGCCCGCCCUUCCUUUAUUCCCCACAUGCCCUCCCCACUCCCACAGCAAUUCUAAGGUGGCCAUCUGGAUGUUCCCCAUCAGGGUUAAGUGCUCUGAAGGUCACGGGAGAUAAAGCUCCUGCCACCACCAAGGACCAGGCUUUGCUCCGGCUCUGCCCCCAUCUCACCCUCCCCUUCUCUCCCCAUGGUCCCCAAGGCAGCCAAAGUGACAGGGCCCCAGGAGCUCACUCCUCACUGUCCCCUUCAACCUCCCCCUUUCUUUCCUUCUCUCUCAUUUAUUUCAAUUUGCUAUGCUUUCCUAGGUGGCUUUUCAGCAUUAGUUGGUGAGGGGGAGAGGAGAGGAAGGAGGGGAGGGAAGGGGAGAGGGAUGUUUUCAUGGUGGAAAGCCAAGGAAACCCCCAUGUUGCAGGGCUGGGUGGUGGAUGAGGGUCUGCAGACGUUCAGCUGCAAAAGGGAAGGGGGACGACAGCAGCUGAACAUCCGCGUGGGAGCUGCAGGGGAGGGGGAUGUCAGCCAGCAGCUCGUGGUGAGAUUUAAAAAUGUAAACUCAGAUGUAAGGUCAGGCUGGGGGUCACAGGAAAAUUGGCCAAUUUUUUAGGCUGAUUUUGGGAGUAACCUCUCACAGCUCAGAACAUAAUGUGGGUCAGCGGAUUGGCAAAGUGCUGUCAGGACCUCCGGAUGCUUUUGUGGCAUCUCAGACUACCGCAGCUGACUAUUUAAUUGCCAGUUCAGGGGAACAAGGGCAAUUGUCUUUCGGAGAGAAGUGGUACUGAAGCACUGGAAGGUUUGGGGCAUGAGUCAGACUGCUGUGUGAAAGGGAUAUUUGUGAAAUUCAUCCUCAGUGCAAGCGCCACAUUGCUGUGAUUCGUGGUCGAAGGGGAAGCACCUCUGUAACAGCAUUGCUCAUUUGCUCGGCACCUCAUGGGUUUUGCUUUCCUUCUUGGGUUCCAAAAUGGCUUCACUUUCCAGGAAUACCCCUCACAGGUUCCAGCUGUCCUAGCAGACACAAGAUCUGAGUUCAUCACCUCCUGCUUCCCUUCCUGUGACUGUGCCAUCACCUGUCACCAUGCAGAAGCUUUUCUACCAACUAUUGAGCCAGCCCAGACUGCCAUAAGCCUGGUGCUUUCCAGAGCACAGCAACUCUCUGGUCCCUCACAAAUGCAACCUAAGGUACAAACCCAGUAAUUAAGACCCUGUAAUUCCCAGGCAUGGCUCACGUUAUCCACAGCACUCCUUCCCUUAAGGAAUCAGGCUGAUGUGUGAUGUUACCACCAUCCAAAAGCCUGUUUCUGUGAUUCCUUGUCCUGUAUGUGUCCUCAGCAGAUCCUUAGGGAGGUGGUUUGCAGGGUCUGUCCUCUUUUAUUCCCUAAGAUACCCUUCACGAUGGCUGUAAGAAACUCCCUAGUUAAACCAUUUACUUGUGGAUUGCUUUGAUUCUUUGUACUCACUCAGCUGUUGUCUGGAAAGGAGAAGCAGCGGAGAUGUACUUGAGGAAGGACAGACCUAAAAAGGACACUUCAAGUUAGCGUAUAAAAUCAAAACCUGAAACCAUUAAAAGCCUCAACAUACAGCUGACAAAUAAGGUAUAUAUUUACUGCUGACAUGAUCUCCUAUCUGACAUACUAGAUUAUAGUACUAAUUUUUAAUUAAUCUUUGGGGCAGAAAAUGAACCAACCUAUUUCUCUAUAAAAUAUCUCAUGCAUUUUGGA